UGGGGAAUAUUGCACAAUGGGCGAAAGCCUGAUGCAGCGACGCCGCGUGAGGGAUGACGGCCUUCGGGUUGUAAACCUCUUUCAGCAGGGAAGAAGCGAAAGUGACGGUACCUGCAGAAGAAGCGCCGGCUAACUACGUGCCAGCAGCCGCGGUAAUACGUAGGGCGCAAGCGUUGUCCGGAAUUAUUGGGCGUAAAGAGCUCGUAGGCGGCUUGUCACGUCGGGUGUGAAAGCCCGGGGCUUAACCCCGGGUCUGCAUCCGAUACGGGCAGGCUAGAGUGUGGUAGGGGAGAUCGGAAUUCCUGGUGUAGCGGUGAAAUGCGCAGAUAUCAGGAGGAACACCGGUGGCGAAGGCGGAUCUCUGGGCCAUUACUGACGCUGAGGAGCGAAAGCGUGGGGAGCGAACAGG
rnacentral:rRNA from 2 species